CUUCUGGUAGUUCAGUUGGUAGACCUGUAGCAAUGGAGUAUUGCAUGGUAAGCCAUUGGUCGCUGGUUCAAAUCCGGCUCGGAGGA